AAAGAGUUAGUUUAACACAAAACAUAACCUUGUCAAGGUUAAAAUGCCCACGAAGCACCCUUUA
rnacentral:tRNA from 1 species